AUGCAACUGAUAAUUUUGGAUACUCCAGGGAGUGGCACCAAGACGGCCAGCUUGUUUCACCAUGGGACUACUAGUAGGCUUAGAUCUCAAGUCUACACAUCUUCCAAGUUCAGUUACAUCUACUGGUGUGCACUGAAGAUUGCCUACAGAGAUGCCUUAGUUUCUCUGAAGCAAUUUCUAGGUCCUUUACCCCUCUUGCCUCUUGUCCAGUUGCCUAGGACUCCCCCAGCUGUGGCUGAAUGUGGAUUUCCCCCAAAAUGGGGAAGUUCCCCAGAAGAGACAGGACUCACAGAGAAAUAAAUGCAAGUCUCCAGUUGUACUGAGCAUUGAAAAGAUUCCCCAAGGGACUAACAGCGGGACAAUUUUCUUCCCAUGAACUACCUUCUCUCUGAAUCUUGUGCUCACAUUUCAGAUAGAAGAAAAAAAAAAAAAAGCAACACAAAAAGCAAAGACUGAAAAAUAUGUACAAGAAUCACAAUAGUCUAGCAGAGCAUGCAUAAUCAGAAGUGGAAGCGGGGAUUAAAAGGAUCGUGCAUGCAGAUACAACAUUUCCGCCUAAUACUGAUUUUGAGAAAAUGGCCUGGACUUCUGGGAGCUUGACUUCAAUAAAGGGUGAGGAAGAUCUGAGGACCACAUUCUGCUCUAUCACACUUGAGAAGCAGAGAGGAGAGAUGAAACUCUCAGGAAAGCUGGAACAGGGACAGUUGGCCCAUGUAACAGCUUUCAGAUCCAGCCCAGGAUAUCUCUGGAGGAAGUAACCAGAACAAGAGGGCAGGAUAUGUCAGUCCAACUGACCUUGGAAAGGGUCUGGCUGUGUCUGCAGAUGCAUUUUUCUUGUUAAUGUUGCUCCUUUUGUGAAAAUGCUGCCCUGUUGCUUAGCCUGAUUACAACACAUGAAUCCAGUCCUACUUCUGGAAGAGUCAAUUGGAGCUUGACAUCAGUGGGAUCAUGAAAAUUGAGAUCCGUGCUGCACCAGACAUUGUUCUACUGCAUUUAGUUUAACCUCACUGAAACAUGGAUGAGGGCAGAAGAAAAUCUCUUCAUUUGGUGUAAUUUUUUCUCUAAUAUCUACUACUUUGAAACCUCCCCUUUUUUUCCACUUUAUACUGUGUUCUCUCCUCACAAUUCACACACUUUCUAUUCUCCAUAUUCUUCUUCUUUCAUUUUGGUCUAAUGAUUCAGCCGCAUCUUCUUUGGGGUCAAGAACAGUUUCACAUGAUAUGAUGUGUGAAACGUGGGGGCAUUUACAGGAACUUGGAAGCAUUUCUAUAAGCAUUCCUAUCAAGAAAGGAACAUUUUAAAACAGAAUUUGGGGUAGGGUUUUUGGGGUUUUUUUCAGAUUAAUUAGUUUCACACAGUGUCUUCAGUGGUUUCCCUUUGUAGAAAGAAAGAAACUAAAAAUAAUCAUUAUUAAAGCUUAAUGGUAAGAUCUGAAUAGUUUCAGAACAAACUUUAAUUACCUCAGUGCUUUUUGUGUCUGACAGUGACAUCUUUUGUUUACACUGAAGUAGUGCAACCAAUAGUCUUUACUUUGGAUUGUUGCUUUUAAGGGUAAACUUUGUAGCUGCAAUUCAGUGGAUGUACAUUACAUAGUAUGAAUUCUUUUACCCAUAAUUCCAGUUUUGCCUUUUCUCUUGUGUUGGUGAUGAAAUGAAGAUUCAGACAAACACUGAAAUUAAUAACAAACAUAUUCUAUAUCUGAAUCAGAUCCUGAAGUUUCACACUUGACAUCCCACUUCCUUUCUUGUCUUUAUACUGCAUCUUGAGAAAAAAAUUAUCUACUAGAUCAUUAUGCCACAGAUACUAAUCCAUGCUAAGUUAUUACUUUCUCCCCCUAUUUUAAGAAGGAAUGUCUGAGAAAGAGCCAUAGGGGGAAAAAAAAAAUCUGUAUUAAUAGUUUCCUGUGGGUGUCUGUCAAUAUAUCUUGUCACAGUCUAAAUCAGGGACUGACUUUUAAGUGAAAAAUAUGAAAAUUAAAGAAACUAAAACUGAAGAACAUGAAUCUCAAUAACUCAAUUUUAAUAUUCUCUUCUUUUGCAUGUACAGAUAUUUUAAUAGCAACUUAAUUACCCAAGAAAAAAAUGAACUUUAAUCAAUCUUGUAACCAAAAAUCCUAGAAGGUACAAAUGCUGGUCAGAGUAAGAGUUAUUUUGCUACUUUGCACUAAGAAACAUUUUUAUAUUUAACAAAGACAAUAAAGCAGUAAAAUGAGUAUCAGUUAGAGACUGAACAUGACUGUACCCACACCAGUCUUGCC
rnacentral:lncRNA from 13 species